rnacentral:misc_RNA from 2 species
CCGAGUGCGGGCCCUCUGGGUCCACCCUCCCACCCGUGUCUACCGUACCUUGUUGCUUCGGCGGGCCCGCCCCCUCGGGGGCCGCCGGGGGGCAUCACGCCCCCGGGCCCGCGCCCGCCGGAGACAUCUACGUGAACCCUGUCUGAAGGUUGCCGUCUGAGUGGAUUUAUCCAAUCGUUUA